GGAAUCUUCGGCAAUGGGGGCAACCCUGACCGAGCAACGCCGCGUGAGUGAAGAAGGUUUUCGGAUCGUAAAGCUCUGUUGUAAGAGAGGAACGUGUGUGAGAGUGGAAAGUUCACACAGUGACGGUAACUUACCAGAAAGGGACGGCUAACUACGUGCCAG
rnacentral:rRNA from 1 species